UACGGGGGAUGCGAGCGUUAUCCGGAUUUAUUGGGUUUAAAGGGUGCGUAGGCGGCUUUUUAAGUCAGCGGUGAAAUUUUGCAGCUUAACUGUAACAGUGCCGUUGAUACUGGGGAGCUAGGAUUUGGUUGCUGUGGGUGGAAUGUGUGGUGUAGCGGUGAAAUGCUUAGAGAUCACACAGAAUAUCGAUUGCGAAGGCAGCUCACAAAGCCAAGAUUGACGCUGAGGCACGAAAGUGUGGGGAUCAAACAGGAUUAGA
rnacentral:rRNA from 1 species